UUUAAAUCCCAAAUAUAAAGAUUAAAACUUUUUUUAGAA
rnacentral:tRNA from 3 species